rnacentral:rRNA from 1 species
GACGAACGCUGGCGGCGUGCCUAAUACAUGCAAGUCGAGCGAAUCUUUAGGAGCUUGCUCCUAUUGAUUAGCGGCGGACGGGUGAGUAACACGUGGGCAACCUGCCUGUAAGACUGGGAUAACACCGGGAAACCGGUGCUAAUACCGGAUAAUCCUUUCCUGCACAUGCAGGAAAGCUGAAAGACGGCUUCGGCUGUCACUUACAGAUGGGCCCGCGGCGCAUUAGCUGGUUGGUGAGGUAACGGCUCACCAAGGCGACGAUGCGUAGCCGACCUGAGAGGGUGAUCGGCCACACUGGGACUGAGACACGGCCCAGACUCCUACGGGAGGCAGCAGUAGGGAAUCUUCCGCAAUGGACGAAAGUCUGACGGAGCAACGCCGCGUGAGUGAUGAAGGCCUUCGGGUCGUAAAGCUCUGUUGUUAGGGAAGAACAAGUACCGGAGUAACUGCCGGUACCUUGACGGUACCUAACCAGAAAGCCACGGCUAACUACGUGCCAGCCGCCGCAGUAA